rnacentral:rRNA from 1 species
AUAGAUAGGGCAGAACACCCGUGGCGAAACGCUGCGUUGUCCACUACUGUCGUGAGGAACGAAAGCUAGGGGAGCAAACAGGAUUAGAUACCCUGGUAGUCCUAGCCCUAAACGAUCAGGACUUGGGGUGCCACCCGUUUGGGUGUCGUCCCUGGAGCUAACGAGUUAAGUCCUGCACGUGGGGAGUACGGUCGCAAGACUGAAACUCAAAGGAAUUGACGGGGGCCCGCACAAGCGGUGGAACAUGUGGUUCAAUUCGACGCUACGCGAGGAACCUUACUUGGGCUCGAAGCGCACCUGACAAGCUGUGGAAACACGGCCUUCCCGCAAGGGACAGGUGUGGAGGCGCUGCAUGGGUGUCGUCAGCUCGUGCCGUGAGGUGUUGGGUUAAGUCCCGCAACGAGCGCAACCCCUGCACGUAGUUGCCACUCCGCAAGGAGGGAACUCUACGUGGACUGCUCCGGAUAACGGAGAGGAAGGUGGGGAUGACGUCAAGUCCGCAUGGCCUUUAUGUCCAGGGCUACACACGUGUUACAAUGCAGGGCACAAACCGUUGCCAACCCGCGAGGGGGAGCUAAUCGGAAAAAACUCUGCUCAGUUCGGAUUGCAGUCUGCAACUCGACUGCAUGAAGCCGGAAUCGCUAGUAAUGGCGUAUCAGAUCGACGCCGUGAAUACGUUCCCGGGCCUUGUACACACCGCCCGUCACAUCACGAAAGUGAGUUGUACUAGAAGUCGCCAAGCCAACCGCAAGGGAGCAGGCGCCCAAGGUAUGACUCAUGAUUGGGGUGAAGUCGUAACAAGGUAACCA